UUUUAUGGGUGAGUAAAGGAAGUGGUUUCUUGAGACAGAUUCUACUCAUGGUGAAUAUGCUGUGAA
rnacentral:pre_miRNA from 1 species